rnacentral:lncRNA from 1 species
ACCAUUGUUUCAACAUGAAGGUUUGUAAUAAAAAUUUGUUUCUAUCAGCAUUGCUUUGCAUUGCUAUUGCAGGAGUUUUGGGUCAAGCUCCUAGUAAUCCUCCUACGUCUACGCCGGCGCCACCCACACCACCGGCUUCUACUCCUCCUCCGACGACUCAACCACCGCCUACACCAACCGCCACUCCGCCACCAGUUUCUACUCCUCUUCCCACUUCAUCACCGCCCCCAGUGACAGCUUCUCCACCCCCAGUUUCAACUCCUCCACCCAGUUCUCCUCCUCCCGCAACUCCACCACCUGCUUCUCCACCUCCUGCAACUCCACCUCCAGCUUCUCCACCUCCUGCAACUCCACCUCCAGCUUCUCCACCUCCCGCCACUCCUCCACCAGCAACCCCCCCACCUGCAACUCCUCCUGCUACCCCACCACCAGCUCCAUUGGCUUCUCCUCCAGCCACAGUCCCAGCUAUCUCUCCAGUACAAACACCAUUGACCUCGCCACCAGCUCCGCCGAC